rnacentral:rRNA from 1 species
UACGGAGGGUGCAAGCGUUAAUCGGAAUUACUGGGCGUAAAGCGUGCGCAGGCGGUUGUGCAAGACAGAUGUGAAAUCCCCGGGCUUAACCUGGGAAUUGCGAUGGAGACUGCAAGGCUAGAAUCUGGCAGAGGGGGGUAGAAUUCCACGUGUAGCAGUGAAAUGCGUAGAGAUGUGGAGGAACACCGAUGGCGAAGGCAGCCCCCUGGGUCAAGAUUGACGCUCAUGCACGAAAGCGUGGGGAGCAAACAGG